UCCCUGGUGGCUCAGAUGGUAAAGCAUCUGCCUGCAAUGCGGGAGACCUGGGUUCAAUCCCAGGGUUGGGAA
rnacentral:tRNA from 1 species